rnacentral:lncRNA from 1 species
UUCUUUUUGGCCGAUGGAGAGAGAAGGGCUGCUCUUCUGUCAGGUUCUGUGUCACCUGGAGUGUUGACACCUUUUCCUGGUGUCAUUUCUCACAAAGCAAUCAGAUUUUUUUUUUUUAAUAUUUUAUCUUUGGUGCUUUUCGGGAUGUGUGGAAGGAGUGGGGUGGGAUAGCCCUGCAGGAAACCAUUUAAAGAAUGUAGAUAAUACCAAUCUGUGUUGACUCAUCCUGUGGGAGAGUAAUGUGCAGCCGAGCAUCCUAGUAAGUUAUUUAUCAUGCCCUGAGGCUUGAUGGAAUACAGCUUCCUUGAUGAAGAGAUAAAAAGGAACGACAUAAAAGCAAGGUUUAAAAAGAAAAGACUCAUUAAAAAUACAAAAUCCGACUAGGGAGAGAAUGGAGUUGGAAAGAAAUGGAAGUGCAGAGUGAUGGAAAAAACGAGAAGGAUUUGGAGAGCACACUUUUUUUCUGCCGUGACAGGCCACAGCUGGGGGAUCCGAAUGGAACUAUAGAAGAUGACAAUCCUCUUGACCUCUGAAUGGCCAGAUCACACCACAACAGCACAUGCCAGCUUUGGGAAGCAUCUGAGACCAGCCUUCUCGGAGUGCCAAAUCUGGUUACUGAUUCCUCAUUCAUCUACAACACCAUCACAGUUUGGAAGGCACGCCUUCUAUCAGGAGAAACACACUGGACAAAUAAUCCUAAGAGGAGAUUCAGGAAAAGGAUCCCCACUCACUGCCUAUGGAGGAGAGUUCAGAGGUAAAAAGGGUGGGGUGACUCGAGCAUGGAGAGGAGUCUGUCUCUUAAGUCUCUUUUCCCUCCUUCCAGACCUGACUUUGAUGUACCAAUCCACUCUCAGAGGCUCUCUUUCGGUCUUGCUUGCGUCCUGCUGAGGAGUGAAGCACAAGACUCCCGAAGCAACCUGUAUGCCCCAGAUCAUCAGGUGCUGCCACCAAUACUUGAAGAAAAGUAAUUCAUAAGAGAGGCAAACCAACACAAACCAAUGAACAUUAUGGUAAAUGUGCUGUCAUGUUUAGCUUCUCUGUGGCCCUGGAGCAACUCCGUGUCUUGGUCAUUACUUAACUGUGGUGCCAGGAGGUUGUCAUCAAGGUCACCCAGUUACAUGUCCCAAAUUCUGAACUUCCACUUUUUGCUGAGUACAACAAAACCACCUUCUGUAACAUGAAUAAUAAAAACCCAGUGACAAAUAUUGGCGUUCAAGCUGAAGAUCAGAAAAGCAAAGCAGCCAAGCUGCCAGCUCUUACCUCUACUUCAGACUGAAAUGGUGAUCCUGGCCCCAGGAAUCCUGGGUGCAAUGCAGACUGCACUGCUCCCAAGUCUCAGACUGCAAUCCCUGGGCUCCUGUCUCCUCCCACCUUGUAUUCCUUUCUCUCCAGCCAUAUCCUCCUAUCUCCACCUCCCUAGCGCUGGAAUUAAAGGCACUCCCCAAGUGCUGAGAUUAC